rnacentral:rRNA from 1 species
UGCCAGACUCCUACGGGAGGCAGCAGUGAGGAAUAUUGGUCAAUGGCCGGAAGGCUGAACCAGCCAAGCCGCGUGAAGGACGAAGGUGCCAAGCAUUGUAAACUUCUUUUGUCAAGGGACAAAAUCAGGCUCGAGAGCCUGACCGAGGGUACUUGAAGAAAAAGCAUCGGCUAACUCCGUGCCAGCAGCCGCGGUAAUACGGAGGAUGCGAGCGUUAUCCGGAUUUAUUGGGUUUAAAGGGUGCGCAGGCGGAGGUGCAGGUCAGCGGUCAAAUUGCGGGGCUCAACCCCGUACUGCCGUUGAAACUGGCGGGCUGGAGUUGGAGAGAAGUACGCGGAAUGCGCGGUGUAGCGGUGAAAUGCUUAGAUAUCGCGCAGAGCCCCGAUUGCGAAGGCAGCGUACCGGCUCCACACUGACGCUGAGGCACGAAAGCGUGGGUAUCGAACAGGAUUAGAUACCCUGGUAC